rnacentral:misc_RNA from 1 species
AUAGUUCGAGCUCUUGAAGGAUAUGGUCUUCCAAAGGAUAAGGCUGCAGAGCAAUGUGGAUGGCAAGCUGGUGGUGCUUUGUGCCCAGGAGGCCUAUGUUGCAGCCAAUAUGGCUGGUGUGCUAACACACCUGAAUAUUGUGGCAGUGGCUGCCAAAGCCAAUGUGAUGGUGGAGUUGGUGGUGAAGGUGGCUGCGUAGACCUUGGUAGUAUCAUCUCAAGAUCAACGUUUGAGGAGAUGCUUAAACAUAGAAAUAAUGCUGCUUGCCCUGCCAAGGGAUUCUAUACCUAUGAUGCUUUUAUAUCAGCAGCCAAAGCAUUUCCAGCCUUCGGCACCACUGGAGAUGUUGAUACAUGUAAAAGGGAGAUUGCUGCAUUCUUUGGCCAGACAUCUCAUGCAACUACAGGUCUUUGGUUUUAUUACCCCUUCUUUUUCUCAUUUUGAGGGUUUGUUUUGAUUAAAACUCAUUUAGAACUCCUAACUCCAAAUCUCAUUGUUUUAAAGGCUACUCAAAUAUUAUUGGGUAAAACUCAUUAAUUUAAUUAAUUAGCUUUAAUUAAUUUAAAGAUUAAUCACCUUAAUUAGUAUAUAAUUAAGUAGUUAAUUGAGAAAUUUGUGUUGGUGAUGCACUGUAGGAGGGUGGCCAACUGCACCAGAUGGACCAUAUGCUUGGGGAUAUUGCCACAAGGAGGAGCUAAAUCAAGCGUCGUCUUACUGUUCUCCAAGUCCCGCUUAUCCUUGUGCUCCUGGCAAGAAAUAUUACGGUAGAGGUCCCAUCCAACUUUCAUGGAAUUAUAAUUAUGGGCAAUGUGGGCAAGCCUUAGGAUUAGACCUAUUGAACAAUCCAGACCUUGUAGCGACAGAUCGAGUCAUUUCUUUCAAGGCAGCAAUUUGGUUCUGGAUGACUCCACAAUUUCCAAAGCCCUCUUGUCAUGACGUCAUCACUGGACAAUGGUCACCCACCGGCCACGAUAUUUCAGCUGGAAGAGCUCCAGGUUAUGGUGUGAUAACAAACAUCAUCAAUGGUGGUCUUGAAUGUGGUAGGGGUUGGGAUGCUAGGGUUGAAGAUCGUAUUGGGUUUUAUAAGAGAUACUGUGAUAUGUUCGGAGUUGGCUAUGGCAGCAAUCUUGACUGCUACAAUCAAAAGCCAUUCGGAUUAGGGUGAGCACUAUUCGGUUUGAAUCGAAUAAAUCGAAUCGAAUCGUCCUAAUUCGAUAAUUUAGUUUAAUUUUUAAGGUAAUUCAGAUAGGUUCGGUUUUAGAUUUUAAAAAUUUAUGUUAUUUUGGUUUGAUUCGGUUUGAUUUUGAAAAAAAAAUCGAUUGAAUUGAACUAAAUCGAAUUAUUUUAUUAAUUUUUAAAUUACUUUUUUUAUAGGAAAUUUAUGUAUUAUAUAUAUUAUUGUAUAUACAAAUUAUUUGAUUUUAUU